AUGGACCGUGUGAUGAAGAUGGCGUCAGAGCGGGGGGUGGUGAUCUUCACCUUGAACUCAUGCUGCAUGUGCCACACGGUAACCCGCCUCUUCACCGACCUCGGUGUCAAUGCUCUGGUUCAUGAGCUAGACCAUGAUCCCAAGGGCAAGGAGAUGGAGAAGGCGCUCCUCAAGCUUCUCGGGAAGGGGCCACCCGUCCCAGCAGUGUUCAUCGGUGGAAAGCUUGUGGGCGGCACCAAUAAGGUCAUGUCUCUGCACCUUGGUGGUGAGCUGGUUCCCAUGAUACGGAAUGCAGGUGCCCUAUGGCUGUAG
rnacentral:rRNA from 1 species